GCCGGAAUAGCUCAGAGGUUAGAGCAGAGGACUGAAAAUCCUCGUGU
rnacentral:tRNA from 1 species